CGUGGUGGAUGCUGUUAGGAGUAGACCGUCCACCGGUGACGCCGUGGGAGGCCGGGGGGUCGAGUCUCUGGCCGCCUCCAUUGCGAUUCCCAACCCACCCGAGGAGAGGACGGACCCAGUAGCUGAGACGAAAUGGCUUGGGCUUGCUCUGCAUCGUGCUGAUACGAUCAAAGGGAAUAGCCGGGGGUUUCUGAGAGCCCAGCUAUUUGGAUCAUUCAUGAUUUGCUGCCAUUGUGAACACUCUUAAUGCGAGAACUCUGCCACAGAAAUGCUGAUUAAUAAAGGUAACUGAGGGUUUUUUUUUUUUUGGCGUUCUAACAGGGAGGGAAAUAAUAUAGUGACUAAAAAUGCA
rnacentral:lncRNA from 1 species